rnacentral:lncRNA from 1 species
UAUAAAUGUCACUGCGCUUUACAAGCUCCAGAAAAAUUCAGAGGAGGAAUAACAAGACCUUUCACUUCACAGCCCUUUCUAGCAGGGCUACUUAGAGCUUUGUGCUUCAGCAUAGCAGCCAUAAAAUGUUGACAUUUAUAAUUAGAUGUGCAUAAUAAUCUCUUUAUUCGUGAGCUGAAAAGACAGGGUGUGUCUGGAGACAUCAGUCCCUCCUCCUUGCCAAGGAUCCCCCUCAUUGGAGUUGCUCAUGAAACCAUCAUUUGGUGAAAUGUCUCAGGGCCUGGUUUAAAGAGGUGUGGAAUCUUUGCAACUCCCCCAGGGAGCUGUGGGCUGGCCAUUUAGUGAAUAAAACCAAAGCCUCCGUGUGUUUUUAAUCUGAUUAGUUGAUGAUAAUCCAGUCGUAUCAUGCAACAAAAACUGUCCAGCUUCAUUAGGCAAUCUCUUGUUUUAAAAUAACUGUGCUCGAGAGAGCACUUGGCUCUGCUGUUUCUGCUGAAGAUUGGCAGAAAUGGGUGCUUUUUGGUGGUUUUAGUGCUUUGUGAGAAUAGGAUUAAUUUGGGGCUUGGACCGCUGGGGAUCGGUGGAUUUUGGUCCCAUGGGUGCCUCAGUGGCAUUAUGCAGCCCCUCUGCCAAGGGGGCUGGGGGCAGAGCGGGCAAAGGGCUGAAGGGGAAGGGCUGGGGCUGAAAGUGGGGCAGGGCUCGUUCCUGGCCCACCGUGCUGCUCCUGGAUCGAUGAUGGGGGACCUCCCUCCGAGGCCAGUCCUGUAGCACCGCACCAACCCCGGACCAAGCACUAGGUCGGUUCCGUACGACGCCAGUCCCGGACCACCGGCUCGGAGCUGGACUGAGGAGGAUGGAGGAUUCCCGAGGAGCCGGUCCCGAACUCGGUGUUGGAUCGAGAGUGUGGAACCUCCCACCCUCUCGGUCCCGAACCCCGCUGGUCCCGGAGCAUCGGGUCGGUCGCGUACCACGCCGGUCCCGCUCCCCGUCGCCGGUACCGGACCGCGCUGUUCGUCCAGCCGGAUCCCCUUCCCAGCGAGCCGAUGCCCGGGAGCCCGGGGCAGCCCCAGCCGGGGGCGGAGCGGUGCCGGUGCGGCGGGAUGGGCGGCCCGGCCCCUGCCCCGCUCGACGCCGCAUCACGGUGAGUGACAGCCGCCCCGGCCCGGCCCCGCCGCACAACCCGCCGGGCUUUUCCAAUCAGGCCGGGCCGGGGAGGGAUUUCCUGCCGGGACGGGGCCGGCCCGAGCGGGACUUUGCCGAGUGCCGCGCCGCCUGCUCGCCGGGACCCGCGGCUCCGCUCCGGUACCGGCGCCGCUCCCGCCCCGCGCCGCUCGGGAAGUUGUGGCCGGGCCGGGCUGGGCUCGGCACUGCUCGGUGCGCCGCGCUCCGGAGCGGCUCCGGUCCGGUGCCGUCGGUUCGCUCCGGUGCAGUUCGGUUCGCCCGGGCGCCGUUCGGUUCGCCCCGGUGCGGCGGGCUGGGAGCGCCGCCAGGUCCCGGGCUGCCGUGCCGGGGCUCCCCAGCGUGCCUGCAGUGCCGUCACAGAGAGGAAUGCCGAAACGAAGGGGCUAAUGAGCACCAGAGAGGGAGGAUCUAUAACUUCCAGAUGGCAACGAGCCCAUAA